rnacentral:rRNA from 1 species
GAUGAACGCUGGCGGCGUGCCUAAUACAUGCAAGUCGAGCGAACGGACGAGAGGCUUGCUUCUCUGAUGUUAGCGGCGGACGGGUGAGUAACACGUGGAUAACCUACCUAUAAGACUGGGAUAACUUCGGGAAACCGUAGCUAAUACCGGAUAAUAUUUUGAACCGCAUGGUUCAAAAGUGAAAGACGGUCUUGCUGUCACUUAUAGAUGGAUCCGCGCUGCAUUAGCUAGUUGGUAAGGUAACGGCUUACCAAGGCAACGAUGCAUAGCCGACCUGAGAGGGUGAUCGGCCACACUGGAACUGAGAUACGGUCCAGACUCCUACGGGAGGCAGCAGUAGGGAAUCUUCCGCAAUGGGCGAAAGCCUGACGGAGCAACGCCGCGUGAGUGAUGAAGGUCUUCGGAUCGUAAAACUCUGUUAUUAGGGAAGAACAUAUGUGUAAGUAACUGUGCACAUCUUGACGGUACCUAAUCAGAAAGCCACGGCUAACUACGUG